rnacentral:snRNA from 1 species
ACUCAUAAGAUUGUGUCACGUGUC